rnacentral:rRNA from 1 species
AGUGAACGCUGGCGGUAGGCCUAACACAUGCAAGUCGAACGGCAGCACAGUAAGAGCUUGCUCUUACGGGUGGCGAGUGGCGGACGGGUGAGGAAUACAUCGGAAUCUACUUUUUCGUGGGGGAUAACGUAGGGAAACUUACGCUAAUACCGCAUACGACCUACGGGUGAAAGCAGGGGAUCUUCGGACCUUGCGCGAUUGAAUGAGCCGAUGUCGGAUUAGCUAGUUGGCGGGGUAAAGGCCCACCAAGGCGACGAUCCGUAGCUGGUCUGAGAGGAUGGUCAGCCACACUGGAACUGAGACACGGUCCAGACUCCGACGGGGGGCCGCAGUGGGGAAUAUUGGACAAUGGGCGCAAGCCUGAUCCAGCCAUACCGCGUGGGUGAAGAAGGCCUUCGGGUUGUAAAGCCCUUUUGUUGGGAAAGAAAAGCAGCAGGUUAAUACCCCGCUGUUCUGACGGUACCCAAAGAAUAAGCACCGGCUAACUUCGUG